GACGUAGGGCGCGAGCGUUGUCCGGAUUUAUUGGGCGUAAAGAGCUCGUAGGCGGCUUGUCGCGUCGAAUGUGAAAUUUUAGGGCUCAACCCUAACAUUGCAUUCGAUACGGGCAGGCUUGAGUUCGGUAGGGGAGACUGGAAUUCCUGGUGUAGCGGUGAAAUGCGCAGAUAUCAGGAGGAACACCGGUGGCGAAGGCGGGUCUCUGGGCCGAUACUGACGCUGAGGAGCGAAAGCUAGGGGAGCAAACAGG
rnacentral:rRNA from 1 species